rnacentral:lncRNA from 1 species
AGAUCUUUGAAAAGGAAGGAACCAAUGUUCAGUUGUUGGGGAUUGAAUACUAUGUGACACUUCCUCCCCCUUUCUCUAAGCUCAGCUGUUACCAAUGGAGUCAGUCAGUCUAGACUAAAGGCUUUCUUCAAGAUUGGCUGACAAAACAGGAGUCGAUAAGUCCAGACACCAACCCAAAUGCUCCACUGGUCACUUUGGAAAAUUGGAUUGUGUGAAGCACUGAGAAGGCAAAGGAAAGCAAGAGAAUCUGGUAGGAGAGACAACAUGAAAAUAGACAAUAUCCAGGCAGGAUAAAUUGGAGAAUUUAAAAAGGAGAGGAAAGAAGAAUCCAGGAGAACCUAUAAGAUCCUAUAAAGACAUGCAACAUCAAAGAAGGGAAAAUUAAUUGAUAUUUAAAAAAGGAAAAUAAAAAGAAUGGCAUCUGAAAAUUAUAGAUCA